rnacentral:tRNA from 1 species
AAGAAAGAGGCAGAAGGGUUAUGCAGUUGGCUUGAAACCAAUCAUUGGGGGUUCAAGUCCCUCCUUUCUCG